rnacentral:rRNA from 1 species
UAAUACGAAGGGGGCUAGCGUUGCUCGGAAUUACUGGGCGUAAAGGGCGCGUAGGCGGGUCGUUAAGUUGGGGGUGAAAGCCCAGGGCUCAACCCUGGAAUUGCCUUCAAUACUGGCGACCUUGAGUAUGGCAGAGGUGUGUGGAACUCCGAGUGUAGAGGUGAAAUUCGUAGAUAUUCGGAAGAACACCAGUGGCGAAGGCGACACACUGGGCCAUUACUGACGCUGAGGCGCGAAAGCGUGGGGAGCAAACAGG